GGCAUCACGCUGGCGGCGUGCCUAAUACAUGCAAGUCGAACGAACUUCCGUUAAUUGAUUAGGACGUGCUUGCACUGAAUGAGAUUUUAACACGAAGUGAGUGGCGGACGGGUGAGUAACACGUGGGUAACCUGCCCAGAAGCAGGGGAUAACACCUGGAAACAGAUGCUAAUACCGUAUAACAGAGAAAACCGCCUGGUUUUCUUUUAAAAGAUGGCUCUGCUAUCACUUCUGGAUGGACCCGCGGCGCAUUAGCUAGUUGGUGAGGUAACGGCUCACCAAGGCGAUGAUGCGUAGCCGACCUGAGAGGGUAAUCGGCCACAUUGGGACUGAGACACGGCCCAGACUCCUACGGGAGGCAGCAGUAGGGAAUCUUCCACAAUGGACGCAAGUCUGAUGGAGCAACGCCGCGUGAGUGAAGAAGGGUUUCGGCUCGUAAAGCUCUGUUGUUAAAGAAGAACGUGGGUGAGAGUAACUGUUCACCCAGUGACGGUAUUUAACCAGAAAGCCACGGCUAACUACGUGCCAGCAGCCGCGGUAAUACGUAGGUGGCAAGCGUUAUCCGGAUUUAUUGGGCGUAAAGCGAGCGCAGGCGGUCUUUUAAGUCUAAUGUGAAAGCCUUCGGCUCAACCGAAGAAGUGCAUUGGAAACUGGGAGACUUGAGUGCAGAAGAGGACAGUGGAACUCCAUGUGUAGCGGUGAAAUGCGUAGAUAUAUGGAAGAACACCAGUGGCGAAGGCGGCUGUCUGGUCUGUAACUGACGCUGAGGCUCGAAAGCAUGGGUAGCGAACAGGAUUAGAUACCCUGGUAGUCCAUGCCGUAAACGAUGAUUACUAAGUGUUGGAGGGUUUCCGCCCUUCAGUGCUGCAGCUAACGCAUUAAGUAAUCCGCCUGGGGAGUACGACCGCAAGGUUGAAACUCAAAAGAAUUGACGGGGGCCCGCACAAGCGGUGGAGCAUGUGGUUUAAUUCGAAGCUACGCGAAGAACCUUACCAGGUCUUGACAUCUUCUGCCAACCUAAGAGAUUAGGCGUUCCCUUCGGGGACAGAAUGACAGUGGUGCAUGGUUGUCGUCAGCUCGUGUCGUGAGAUGUUGGGUUAAG
rnacentral:rRNA from 1 species